GACGAACGCUGGCGGCGUGCUUAACACAUGCCAGUCGAACGGAAAGGCCCUGCUUUUGUGGGGUGCUCGAGUGGCGAACGGGUGAGUAACACGUGAGUAACCUGCCCUUGACUUUGGGAUAACUUCAGGAAACUGGGGCUAAUACCGGAUAGGAGCUCCUGCUGCAUGGUGGGGGUUGGAAAGUUUCGGCGGUUGGGGAUGGACUCGCGGCUUAUCAGCUUGUUGGUGGGGUAGUGGCUUACCAAGGCUUUGACGGGUAGCCGGCCUGAGAGGGUGACCGGCCACAUUGGGACUGAGAUACGGCCCAGACUCCUACGGGAGGCAGCAGGGGGGAAUAUUGCACAGUGGGCGGAAGCCUGAUGCAGCAACGCCGCGUUCGGGAUGACGGCCUUCGGGUUGUAAACCGCUUUCGCCUGUGACGAAGCGUGAGUGACGGUAAUGGGUAAAGAAGCACCGGCUAACUACGUG
rnacentral:rRNA from 1 species